GCAUAUCAAUAAGCGGAGGAAAAGAAACCAACAGGGAUUGCCCCAGUAGCGGCGAGUGAAGCGGCAAAAGCUCAGAUUUGGAAUCGCUUCGGCGAGUUGUGAAUUGCAGGUUGGCGCCUCUGCGGCGGCGGCGGUCCAAGUCCCUUGGAACAGGGCGCCAUUGAGGGUGAGAGCCCCGUGGGACCGUUUGCCUACGCUCUGAGGCCCUUCUGACGAGUCGAGUUGUUUGGGAAUGCAGCUCUAAGCGGGUGGUAAAUUCCAUCUAAGGCUAAAUACUGGCGAGAGACCGAUAGCGAACAAGUACUGUGAAGGAAAGAUGAAAAGCACUUUGAAAAGAGAGUGAAACAGCACGUGAAAUUGUUGAAAGGGAAGGGUAUUGCGCCCGACAUGGAGCGUGCGCACCGCUGCCCCUCGUGGGCGGCGCUCUGGGCGUGCUCUGGGCCAGCAUCGGUUUUUGCCGCGGGAGAAGGGCGGCGGGCAUGUAGCUCUUCGGAGUGUUAUAGCCUGCCGCCGGCGCCGCGAGCGGGGACCGAGGACUGCGACUUUUGUCUCGGAUGCUGGCACAACGGCGCAACACCGCCCGUCUUGAAACACGGACC
rnacentral:rRNA from 1 species